GUUUGUGGAAACACCAUGUAAAUUUAUUACUGCAAUUGCAGUAACCAAUUGCAGUAUUGCAGUAAUAAAUUUACGUGGUGUUUCCACAAACAAAACUAU